UACAGAGGUCCCAAGCGUUGUUCGGAUUCAUUGGGCGUAAAGGGUGCGUAGGUGGCAUGGUAAGUCGGGUGUGAAAUCCCGGGGCUCAACCCCGGAACUGCACUCGAUACUGCCGUGCUCGAGUACUGGAGAGGAGACUGGAAUUUACGGUGUAGCAGUGAAAUGCGUAGAUAUCGUAAGGAAGACCACUGGCGAAGGCUAGUCUCUGGACAGUUCCUGACACUGAGGCACGAAGUCCAGGGGAGCAAACGUG
rnacentral:rRNA from 1 species